GCUCCUACUUCCGGGGCGGCUGGUUCUUCCCGUCCUCCCCACCCCGGGGACACGCUUCUAGUAGGCCAAACUCCCAGGUGACCCCCGCAAGAAACGCGGUCCGGAGAGGGUCUGGCCCCACUGCUGGGGCAAGGGCUCUAGGCGCCCGGACCCCACGCCCGCAGCCUGCGGAGAACGUGCCGACAAGGACCUGUAGGGCCCCACUCCCCCUCCUCCCUCCCUCGGCGCAGCCCGGCCCAGGGGUCUGUCCUCCCAGGCCCAGGAAAGGAGGAAACCCACUUCCGCCGCGUCCAUGAUCUCCCGCGGCUUCUCCUGACUCUUGCGGCUGGCGCUGGCGCUGGGCAUCGGGACACGGAACUGGGCAGUGGACACCACCCUCCCUCGCAGGCUUCCAAAGUAAUUUGAAGGCCUUCCCUGACUUAAAGUGGAUGCUGCUUUGGAAAGCACUGGAAAAAUGGAUCCUGUCUUUCUUAGCCAAGGACUGGUCUCUUUUCUCCAAUGUGUCCCUAACAGAGUGGUGAGGCUGGCUCUUCCCACCAGUACAGACAUGGAAUAAACUUGACAAGUGCUAAAGAUGCUCUUUGAUUUUUGUGUGGCAUGAGACCUCAGGCUGAAACUUCUCAUCUGAGCCAUUGAAGGGAGCCUCUCAUCUCUCCACCGAGAGGGGAGACCAGAAUGCUCUGUUUCUGGCAGGAAUCUGACACCACUUACUCCUUGGGUAGAAACUCCCCCAAGUCUGAACUAUGUGAUUGCCUGAGCCCUGCUUCUUGUUCAUUAAGACUGCUCCUCUGAAACGGAAUUGAUGAAUUUUUAGUGGCUAUUAGAAGCAUUUGGGAUCCAUAGGCAUCAGGGUUUGAUGCAUGGCCCUCAUCUCUGUGGGCUCCUGUGCAAUGAUUCUCAUCUGUCUUAGUUAGAAAGUGAAUUAAUCUUGACCUUGGCCUCAGGGGUGUGGUUCUCUGCCCUCUUACACAUCUUCAAUUCGCUUCUUUAUCAGAAGCACUUGUUUUAGGCCCAGGCUCCCCCAAUUUUAAUGACAUUUAGACAUUUGUCUUUAAGUUACAUUGCUUUGAUUUUAAUCAAAAUCUAUAUUUCUAGUAUUAUAUGUUUCCAGAAAGUUCUCAUUCUGGAUUGUAAUUUAAUUACAUGGAUCAUUAAAGCUUUGAAGGAUGCUAAUGGGCAGAAAAAAGAGACUUAACAAAACGAAAGUUAUUAUUAGGAAUUACAAAUCACUUAACAUUUCAACAUCACUCGUCGGAUGUGGGCAUUUUGUUGAAAGAGACCUUGUUUUGAACAGUGACAGUGCAGAAGACCUAUGGAAGAAACAAGCUUCCAACUUGAUUUCUAUUGUUAUGCAUGCAUAGCAAAUUAUUAAUUCUAUUCUAAUAGGGUAAUAGAUUUAGAAAUACUAUUAGCAGAAAACUUGAUGUAUUAGGCAAUACUACAUACCACAUUAGUCUAACCGCUCAACUGUAAUUUUUCAUCCAUACUUUCUUGGGAUGUAAAUAAAAUUGAUAUUAUACAAUGAAAA
rnacentral:lncRNA from 1 species